CUCUUCGGUUAAUACCCGGAGACGAUGACAUUAGCUGCAGAAUAAGCACCGGCUAACUCUGUGCCAGCAGCCGCGGUAAUACAGAGGGUGCAAGCGUUAAUCGGAAUUACUGGGCGUAAAGCGAGCGUAGGUGGCUUGAUAAGUCAGAUGUGAAAUCCCCGGGCUUAACCUGGGAACUGCAUCUGAAACUGUUAGGCUAGAGUAGGUGAGAGGGAAGUAGAAUUUCAGGUGUAGCGGUGAAAUGCGUAGAGAUCUGAAGGAAUACCGAUGGCGAAGGCAGCCUCCUGGCAUCAUACUGACACUGAGGCUCGAAAGCGUGGGUAGCAAACAGGAUUAGAUACCCUGGUAGUCCACGCCGUAAACGAUGUC
rnacentral:rRNA from 1 species